rnacentral:tRNA from 1 species
GCGGACUUAGUUCAGUUGGUAGAGCACUGGUUUCCAAAACCAGGGGUCGGGAGUUCGAGCCUCUCAGUCCGCG